CACCAGUGGCGANGGCGACUUUCUGGACGAAAACUGACGCUGAGGCGCGAAAGCCAGGGGAGCGAACGGGAUUAGAUACCCCGGUAGUCCUGGCCGUAAACGAUGGGUACUAGGUGUAGGAGGUAUCGACCCNUUCUGUGCCGGAGUUAACGCAAUAAGUACCCCGCCUGGGGAGUACGACCGCAAGGUUGAAACUCAAAGGAAUUGACGGGGGCCCGCACAAGCGGUGGAGUAUGUGGUUUAAUUCGACGCAACGCGAAGAACCUUACCAGGUCUUGACAUUGAUGGACAGAACCAGAGAUGGUUCCUCUUCUUCGGAAGCCAGAAAACAGGUGGUGCACGGUUGUCGUCAGCUCGUGUCGUGAGAUGUUGGGUUANNNNNNNNCAACGAGCGCAACCCCUAUCUUAUGUUGCCAGCACUUUGGGUGGGGACUCAUGAGAGACUGCCGCAGACAAUGCGGAGGAAGGCGGGGAUGACGUCAAAUCAUCAUGCCCCUUAUGACCUGGGCUACACACGUACUACAAUGGGAGUUAAUAGACGGAAGCGAGAUCGCGAGAUGGAGCAAACCCGAGAAACACUCUCUCAGUUCGGAUCGUAGGCUGCAACUCGCCUACGUGAAGUCGGAAUCGCUAGUAAUCGCAGGUCAGCAUACUGCGGUGAAUACGUUCCCGGGCCU
rnacentral:rRNA from 1 species